AGAGUUUGAUCCUGGCUCAGGAUGAACGCUGGCGGCGUGCCUAACACAUGCAAGUCGAACGAAGCUUGACGGAUGAUUUCUUCGGAAUGAAACCAGAUAUGACUUAGUGGCGGACGGGUGAGUAACACGUGAGCAACCUGCCUUUCAGAGGGGGAUAACGGCUGGAAACGGUCGCUAAUACCGCAUGAUGUGUUCGGAUGGCAUCAUCUGAACAUCAAAGAUUUAUCGCUGAAAGAUGGGCUCGCGUCUGAUUAGAUAGUUGGUGGGGUAACGGCCUACCAAGUCUGCGAUCAGUAGCCGGACUGAGAGGUUGAACGGCCACAUUGGGACUGAGAUACGGCCCAGACUCCUACGGGAGGCAGCAGUGGGGAAUAUUGCACAAUGGGGGAAACCCUGAUGCAGCAACGCCGCGUGAAGGAUGACGGUUUUCGGAUUGUAAACUUCUUUUCUUAGUGACGAAGACAGUGACGGUAGCUAAGGAAUAAGCAUCGGCUAACUACGUGCCAGCAGCCGCGGUAAUACGUAGGAUGCAAGCGUUAUCCGGAUUUACUGGGUGUAAAGGGAGCGCAGGCGGGACUGCAAGUUGGAUGUGAAAUACCGUGGCUUAACCACGGAACUGCAUCCAAAACUGUAGUUCUUGAGUGAAGUAGAGGCAAGCGGAAUUCCGAGUGUAGCGGUGAAAUGCGUAGAUAUUCGGAGGAACACCAGUGGCGAAGGCGGCUUGCUGGGCUUUAACUGACGCUGAGGCUCGAAAGUGUGGGGAGCAAACAGGAUUAGAUACCCUGGUAGUCCACACUGUAAACGAUGAUAGCUAGGUGUGGGGGGUCUGACCCCUUCCGUGCCGCAGCUAACGCAAUAAGCAAUCCACCUGGGGAGUACGACCGCAAGGUUGAAACUCAAAGGAAUUGACGGGGGC
rnacentral:rRNA from 1 species